GGGGGUGUAGCUCAUCUGGUAGAGCGCGUGCUUAGCAUCUCUGAAUGACGUGCUCGUCUCGGGUGUGUUGUCGGUACAUGUUACUUGCACGAGGUACUGGGUUCGACUCCCAGCUCCUCCA